UUAACUCAAAUUUGUAUGGAGUUGGAAUGUUUGCUGCUAGGGACGCUGUUCCAACUGCAUACAAAUGCGUUA
rnacentral:pre_miRNA from 1 species